AUUAACGCUGGCGGCGUGCCUAAUCCAUGCAAGUCGCGCGAACAGACGAGGAGCUUGCUCCUCUGACGUUAGCGGCGGACGGGUGAGUAACACGUGGAUAACCUACCUAUAAGACUGGGAUAACUUCGGGAAACCGGAGCUAAUACCGGAUAAUAUAUUGAACCGCAUGGUUCAAUAGUGAAAGACGGUUUUGCUGUCACUUAUAGAUGGAUCCGCGCCGCAUUAGCUAGUUGGUAAGGUAACGGCUUACCAAGGCAACGAUGCGUAGCCGACCUGAGAGGGUGAUCGGCCACACUGGAACUGAGACACGGUCCAGACUCCUACGGGAGGCAGCAGUAGGGAAUCUUCCGCAAUGGGCGAAAGCCUGACGGAGCAACGCCGCGUGAGUGAUGAAGGUCUUCGGAUCGUAAAACUCUGUUAUUAGGGAAGAACAAAUGUGUAAGUAACUAUGCACGUCUUGACGGUACCUAAUCAGAAAGCCACGGCUAACUACGUG
rnacentral:rRNA from 1 species